rnacentral:rRNA from 1 species
AUCAUUACUGAGUUCUCGAACUCCCAACCACUGUGAACAUACCACUGUUGCUUCGGCGGGCUACCGGUUCGCCGGGACCCCCGCCGGAGACACCACAAACUCUUGUAUUCUAAGGAAUCUUCUGAGUCGUCUUACAAAUAAGAAUUAAAACUUUCAGCAACGGAUCUCUUGGCUCUGGCAUCGAUGAAGAACGCAGCGAAAUGCGAUAAGUAAUGUGAAUUGCAGAAUUCAGUGAAUCAUCGAAUCUUUGAACGCACAUUGCGCCCGCCAGCACUCUGGCGGGCAUGCCUGUCCGAGCGUCAUUAACACCACUCGGGACCCCUCGGUCCCGGCGUUGGGGACCGGCCACGCGCCGGCCCCGAAUUAUAGUGGCGGUCGUCACGCGACUCCCCUGUGCAGUAGCGAUACCACGCAGAGGGCCUAGCGGGUCAACCACGCCGUAAAACCCCCAACUUUAUGAUGUUGACCUCGGAUCAGGUAGGAAUACCCGCUGAACUUAAGCAUAUCAAU